rnacentral:lncRNA from 1 species
AGGGCCGGCGGGUUCCGUGGCGGCCCUCAGAGCCGUCCGCCGCCUGGGGAGGGCCCUCGUCCCGGCGGGACCCGGCGCCGCGAUGUGUCCUGGAAAGAGGAAUUCUUACAGAGAGAUGUGAUGAAAUACUGCCAUGCAUGGAGGAAGUGACUGUUAAGGAGAGCAAAAAAGACCAUUUCCAAGCAUGGUAAAAGAUGAAACCCAACAAGUACUUCAAAAGAAACACUGCAGACCUCUCAGAAAUGCCUGUGGACUACUGAUGGUCUUCAAAGAAUUUGGGCGGCACUAUGGAGCAGCGUUAAUCACUGCAGAUAAUUAGAUUGGAGGACAGCCAGCAUAGCCUGUCAUCUGGACAUCAUCAAACAAUUGCAACUGCAACGUCCUGCUCCUGUGAGUGAACACCCAAACAGCACGUGGCUACAGACUGCAGGGCAUGACUGUGCAGGUCGAGAUCUGCAUAUGUGUCACAAAAGACUUCUGGUCUCACCGUUUCCAUUGAAUGAAUUUGAAUGAAGGAGUACUUUACCAGGAUCAUGAAUACAAUGAAUCGCUUCCUGAGCGACUGUCCGAAUUACG